AACGAACGCUGGCGGCAGGCUUAACACAUGCAAGUCGAACGCACCGCAAGGUGAGUGGCAGACGGGUGAGUAACACGUGGGGAUCUGCCCAAUGGUACGGAAUAGCUCCGGGAAACUGGAAUUAAUACCGUAUGAGCCCGCAAGGGGAAAGAUUUAUCGCCAUUGGAUGAACCCGCGUCGGAUUAGCUAGUUGGUGUGGUAAAGGCGCACCAAGGCGACGAUCCGUAGCUGGUCUGAGAGGAUGAUCAGCCACACUGGGACUGAGACAUGGCCCAGACUCCUACGGGAGGCAGCAGUGGGGAAUAUUGGACAAUGGGCGCAAGCCUGAUCCAGCCAUGCCGCGUGAGUGAUGAAGGCCUUAGGGUUGUAAAGCUCUUUCGCCGACGAAGAUAAUGACGGUAGUCGGAGAAGAAGCCCCGGCUAACUUCGUGCCAGCCGCCGCGGUAAUAC
rnacentral:rRNA from 1 species